UGCUAGGAUUUCUCCAGUUCGUCAUAGUGU
rnacentral:piRNA from 1 species